UACGUAGGGUGCGAGCGUUAAUCGGAAUUACUGGGCGUAAAGCGUGCGCAGGCGGUUCGUCGUGUCUCGUGUGAAAGCCCCGGGCUCAACCUGGGAACUGCAUCUGUGACUGCAUCGCUGGAGUGCGGCAGAGGGGGAUGGAAUUCCGCGUGUAGCAGUGAAAUGCGUAGAUAUGCGGAGGAACACCGAUGGCGAAGGCAAUCCCCUGGGCCUGCACUGACGCUCAUGCACGAAAGCGUGGGGAGCAACAGG
rnacentral:rRNA from 1 species